rnacentral:lncRNA from 1 species
GUUUUCGGCAGACACAACAUCUUUGUUUGUAUGUGGUGCUGAGGAUCGAACCCGGGCCGCAUGCAUGCCAGGCGAGCGCGCUACCGCUUGAGCCACAUCCCCAGCCCCAAAGGAAAACUUGUACCUGCAUCAGUUCACAUACUUAUAGGAAUCUAAUGGGUAGUGAUGGCUAAAUUCACCUUCUUUUUUAAAAUUUUUUUUUAGUUUUAGGUGAACACAAUAUCUUUAUUUUGUUUUUAUGUGGUGCUGAGGAUCGAACUCAGUGCCUCACCUGUGCUAGGCGAGCGCACUACUUCUGAGCCACAACCCCAGCCCCUGAAUUCACUUUCUUAAAGGUUGUACCAAUUUACAUUCCCACCAGCCGUGCACAAGGAAGUGUUUGUGGGAACUUGUCCUGGGGGCUGAUUAUAUGGGUGUAUUCAGCUUGUGAUAAUUCAUUGAGCCAUAUGUUUAUGUAUAUUUAUGCUUUGGGCACUUUUCUGUAUGUUAUACAUCAAUAUAACUUUUUAAAAAACUCAAUAAAAAUCUAAUUAAAAUUA